CAGUCGCCGCGGUAAUACGAGGGGGGCAAGCGUUGUUCGGAAUUAUUGGGCGUAAAGGGGGCGUAGGCGGUUCAGCAAGUCUCGUGUGAAAUCUUCGGGCUCAACCCGAAGUCUGCACGGGAAACUACUGGGCUUGAGUAAUGGAGAGGUGAGUGGAAUCUCCGGUGUAGCGGUGAAAUGCGUAGAUAUGCGGAGGAACACCGAUGGCGAAGGCAGCCCCCUGGGCCAACACUGACGCUCAUGCACGAAAGCGUGGGGAGCAAACAGGAUUAGAUACCCCCGUAGUCCCUGUCUCUUAUAC
rnacentral:rRNA from 1 species